rnacentral:rRNA from 1 species
AUGCCUCCUCCGCCCACGGCCACGUCGCGACCGAACCCUCCCCUCCUCCUCCUCGCCCCGCCCCGCUCCCCGCCCGCCGCGCGCCACCUCGCCCCGCGGAGCAGGCGCCUCAGCUCCUCCUCCACCACCCGCGUGGCCGUCUCGCCGUCGCCGCCGCCGCCUUCGUCGACGGCGGCCUCCGACACGAGCGCGGCGCUGCGGGCGCUCUGCGUGCACGGCCAGCUGCCGCAGGCGCUCUGGCUGCUCGAGUCCUCCCCGGAGCCGCCCGACGAGGACGCCUACGUGGCGCUCUUCCACCUCUGCGAGUGGCGCCGGGCCGCGGACGCCGGGAUGCGCGCCUGCGAGCACGCCGACGCCGCGCACCCCACCUUCGGCCUCCGCCUCGGCAACACCAUGCUCAGCAUGCUCGUCCGCUUCGGCGAGUCGUGGCACGCCUGGGGCGUGUUCGCCAAAAUGCCCCAGCGGGACGUCUUCUCCUGGAACAUCAUGGUGGGCGGCUACGGCAAGGCCGGGUUCCUGGAGGAGGCGCUCGACCUGUACCACCGGAUGCUCUGGGCCGGGGUCAGGCCCGACGUCUACACCUUCCCCUGCGUGCUGCGCACCUGCGGGGGCGUCCCCGACUUGAGGAUGGGGAGGGAGGUGCACGCCCAUGUCCUGAGGUUUGGGUUCGGGGUCGAGGUCGACGUGCUCAAUGCUCUCGUGACCAUGUAUGCCAAGUGCGGGGACGUCGGGGCUGCACGGAAGGUGUUUGACGGUAUGGCCUUGACGGACUGCAUUUCUUGGAACGCCAUGAUUGCUGGGCAUUUCGAGAAUCAUGAGCGGGAGGCGGGGCUGGAGUUAUUUCUGAACAUGCUGGAGAAUGAGGUGCAGCCGAAUCUCAUGACGAUAACCAGCGUGACUGUUGCGUCCGGAUUGCUGUCUGACCUUGAAUUUGCAAAGGAAAUGCAUGCGUUAGCAGUAAAAAGAGGUUUUGCCACUGAUGUUGCGUACUGCAACUCUUUGAUUCAGAUGUAUACUAGUCUUGGGAGGAUGGCGGAAGCAUGCACGAUAUUCUCAAGAAUGGAGACCAGAGAUGCCAUGUCAUGGACAGCCAUGAUAUCAGGGUAUGAGAAAAACGGCUUCCCAGACAAAGCUCUUGAAAUGUAUGCACUGAUGGAAGUAAAUAAUGUUAGUCCUGAUGAUGUUACUGUAGCAAGCGCUCUUGCUGCUUGUGCUUCCUUGGGGCGAGUAGAUGUUGGAAUCAAGCUGCAUGAGAUUGCUACAAGCAGGGGAUUCAUCAGGUACAUUGUAGUUGCAAAUGCACUCCUUGAAAUGUAUGCAAAGUCCAAGCACAUUGAUAAAGCGAUCGAAGUUUUUAAGUACAUGCCUGAAAAGGAUGUAAUAUCAUGGAGUUCAAUGAUCGCGGGCUUUUGCUUUAACCAUAAGUGCUUUGAGGCUCUGUUCUGUUUCCGGCAUAUGCUGGCAGAUGUAAAACCCAAUUCUGUUACUUUCAUCGCUGCUCUUGCUGCUUGUGCUGCUACUGGAUCUUUGAGGUAUGGUAAAGAGAUUCAUGCACAUGUUUUAAGGCGAGGUCUGGCAUCUGAAGGUUAUGUACCCAAUGCUCUUCUGGACUUGUAUGUGAAAUGUGGCCAUACAGGCUAUGCUUGGGCACAGUUCAGUGCGCAUGGUGAAAAGGAUGUUGUAUCUUGGAAUAUCAUGCUUGCUGGUUUUGUUGCUCAUGGACAUGGAGAUAUUGCUUUAUCAUUCUUCAACGAGAUGCUAGAAACUGGAGAGCAUCCGGAUGAAGUUACAUUCGUUGCUCUAUUGUGUGGUUGCAGUAGGGCUGGAAUGGUUAGUCAAGGUUGGGAACUUUUUCACCGCAUGACUGAGGAAUACUCAAUUGUUCCAAAUCUCAAGCACUAUGCAUGCAUGGUGGAUUUACUGAGCCGUGUUGGGAGAUUAACACAAGCUUACGACUUCAUAAAUAGAAUGCCUAUCACACCAGAUGCUGCUGUAUGGGGAGCCUUGUUGAACGGAUGUCGGAUACACCGGCAUACUGAACUUGGGGAGCUUGCUGCCAAAUUUGUCCUUGAGUUGGAACCUAAUGAUGCUGGAUAUCAUGUUCUUUUGUCUGAUUUAUAUGCUGAUGCUGGCAAAUGGGCUGAAGUGGCUAGAGUGAGAAAAACCAUGCGAGAGAAGGGAUUGGAGCAAGACUAUGGGUGUAGCUGGGUUGAGGUUAAAGGAGAUAUUCAUGCAUUUCUUACAGGUGAUGAAUCGCACCCGCAGAUCAAAGAAAUAAAUGCUGUUCUACAUAGCAUAUAUGAGAGGAUGAAAGCAUCUGGUUUUGAUCCUAUUGAAUCUUAUUCUUUAGAAGAUAAAGAAGUAUCCAAGGAUGACGUUUUAUGUGGCCACAGUGAAAGACUAGCUGUCGCUUUUGGUCUCAUCAAUACCACACCUGGCACCUCUAUUUUUGUCACAAAGAACCAGUACACUUGCCAGAGCUGUCACGGUAUAUUGAGUAUGAUUUCUAAGAUAGUUCGCAGAGAGAUAAUUGUCAGGGACACCAAGGAAUUCCACCAUUUUAGGGACGGAAGUUGUUCAUGCGGAGGUUCAGGCUAA